rnacentral:rRNA from 1 species
AGUGAACGCUGGCGGUAGGCCUAACACAUGCAAGUCGAACGGCAGCACAGUAAGAGCUUGCUCUUACGGGUGGCGAGUGGCGGACGGGUGAGGAAUACAUCGGAAUCUACUUUUUCGUGGGGGAUAACGUAGGGAAACUUACGCUAAUACCGCAUACGACCUACGGGUGAAAGCAGGGGAUCUUCGGACCUUGCGCGAUUGAAUGAGCCGAUGUCGGAUUAGCUAGUUGGCGGGGUAAAGGCCCACCAUGGCGACGAUCCGUAGCUGGUCUGAGAGGAUGAUCAGCCACACUGGAACUGAGACACGGUCCAGACUCCUACGGGAGGCAGCAGUGGGGAAUAUUGGACAAAGGGCGCAAGCCUGAUCCAGCCAUACCGCGUGGGUGAAGAAGGCCUUCGGGUUGUAAAGCCCUUUUGUUGGGAAAGAAAAGCAGCAGGUUAAUACCCCGCUGUUCUGACGGUACCCAAAGAAUAAGCACCGGCUAACUUCGUG